UAGUCAUUAAUAUACUGCUGCAUGGGCUGGGCUGUAGUUACACCGUCAGGUUUUAAAAACUGAGUUUUAAAAUCAACAGUGGUAAUAAAACCCUAGAGAGACCGACAGUGAUCACUGACUGUUUUUAGGGGCUUGUUGAGAUUAGAUAGACCAAGAUGCAAAGCAUUAAAACGUGUUAAAAGCACAACAGCCUUAAAAAACAAAGUAGUUUGAGCGUGGAAGCAGGAUUCAUCACGUCAUCACUUGUCGACCAGUCUGAAAUAAUCUUUCGUAAACUCCAACAGUACUCAGUGUUUUUCAUCUGUGUAGAAAGACCUCUAUUCAUCUUUUGCUGAUGAGGAGUUGGAUCGUAUUGUAAGUGAAGUCCACAGAAGCCAUCCAAAUACUGGCUACAAGCUAAUGCAUGGAUUUCUGAAUGCAAGAGGUGUGCGUGUCCCUGUCUCAAGACUGCGGGAGUCUUUACGCAGAGUCGAUACAGAAGGAGUGAACAUCAGACGUCUACGGCUGCAUGUAUUAAGACGACGGCAGUAUUCUGUUCCAGGUCCAAAUUCCUUAUGGCACAUUGACGGCAACCAUAAGCUAAUAAGAUGGAGAUUUGUUGUCCAUGGUGGCACGGAUGGAUUCAGUCGACUAAUUGUCUACUUGACAGUGGUUGGCAACAACAGAGCUAGAACAGUCUUGGAGAGCUUUGUUGCUGCUGUUGAGCAGUACAGACUGCCAUCAAGGGUUCGGUCUGAUAAAGGUGGGGAGAAUGCAGAUGUAGGUGAAUUCAUGAUCAGGAGCUGAGGUACCAACAGGAACUCUCACAUCAAGUAUCCACAAUCAGCGGUUUCUGAAGACUACGGGAUCGACUGGAACGGGCCUCACACUCACCAUGGAGGCACUACAUCAGUACCUGACAUUCAGCUGGGCCGUGAGCUAUCAGAUGAAGAGCUUGCUACUUUGCCAGUUUC